rnacentral:rRNA from 1 species
GAUGAACGCUAGCGGCAGGCCUAACACAUGCAAGUCGAGGGGUAACUAGAGUGAUAGCAAUAUUACUUUGGCUAGACCGGCGCACGGGUGCGUAACACGUAUGCAACCUACCUUAUACUGGGGAAUAACUUCGAGAAAUCGGCGCUAAUACCCCAUAACAUGGCGAAGAGGCAUCUCUUUGCAAUUAAAGCUCCGGCGGUAUAAGAUGGGCAUGCGUCCAAUUAGCUAGUUGGUGGGGUAAAGGCUCACCAAGGCUACGAUUGGUAGGGGUUCUGAGCGGAUGAUCCCCCACACUGGUACUGAGACACGGACCAGACUCCUACGGGAGGCAGCAGUGAGGAAUAUUGCGCAAUGGACGAAAGUCUGACGCAGCCAUGCCGCGUGCAGGAUGACGGCCCUAUGGGUUGUAAACUGCUUUUGUACGGGAAUAAACCCUUCUACGUGUAGGAGGCUGAAGGUACCGUAAGAAUAAGCACCGGCUAACUCCGUGCCAGCAGCCGCAGUAAAAC